rnacentral:rRNA from 1 species
GGGUUGUGAGGUUAAGCGACUAAGCGUACACGGUGGAUGCCUAGGCAGUCAGAGGCGAUGAAGGGCGUGCUAAUCUGCGAUAAGCGUCGGUAAGCUGAUAUGAAGCGUUAUACCCGACGAUACCCGAAUGGGGAAACCCAGUGUGUUUCGACACACUAUCAUUAUGUGAAUACAUAGCGUAAUGAGGCGAACCGGGGGAACUGAAACAUCUCAGUACCCCGAGGAAAAGAAAUCAACCGAGAUUCCCCUAGUAGCGGCGAGCGAACGGGGAGGAGCCCAGAACCUGAAUCAGUUUGUGUGUUAGUGGAAGCGUCUGGAAAGUCGCACAGUAAAGGGUGAUAGUCCCGUACACAAAAAUGCACAGAUUGUGAGUUCGAUGAGUAGGGCGGGACACGUGACAUCCUGUCUGAAUAUGGGGGGACCAUCCUCCAAGGCUAAAUACUCCUGACUGACCGAUAGUGAACCAGUACCGUGAGGGAAAGGCGAAAAGAACCCCGGCGAGGGGAGUGAAAUAGAACCUGAAACCGUGUACGUACAAGCAGUGGGAGCCUUGAUUAAUCAGGGUGACUGCGUACCUUUUGUAUAAUGGGUCAGCGACUUAUAUUCUGUAGCAAGGUUAACCGUAUAGGGGAGCCGCAGGGAAACCGAGUCUUAACUGGGCGUUAAGUUGCAGGGUAUAGACCCGAAACCCGGUGAUCUAGCCAUGGGCAGGUUGAAGGUUGGGUAACACUAACUGGAGGACCGAACCGACUAAUGUUGAAAAAUUAGCGGAUGACUUGUGGCUGGGGGUGAAAGGCCAAUCAAACCGGGAGAUAGCUGGUUCUCCCCGAAAGCUAUUUAGGUAGCGCCUCGUGAAUUCAUCUUCGGGGGUAGAGCACUGUUUCGGCUAGGGGGUCAUCCCGACUUACCAACCCGAUGCAAACUACGAAUACCGAAGAAUGUUAUCACGGGAGACACACGGCGGGUGCUAACGUUCGUCGUGAAGAGGGAAACAACCCAGACCGCCAGCUAAGGUCCCAAAGUCAUGGUUAAGUGGGAAACGAUGUGGGAAGGCACAGACAGCCAGGAUGUUGGCUUAGAAGCAGCCAUCAUUUAAAGAAAGCGUAAUAGCUCACUGGUCGAGUCGGCCUGCGCGGAAGAUGUAACGGGGCUAAACCAUGCACCGAAGCUGCGGCAGCGACACUUAGGUGUUGUUGGGUAGGGGAGCGUUCUGUAAGCCGUCGAAGGUGGCCUGUGAGGGCUGCUGGAGGUAUCAGAAGUGCGAAUGCUGACAUAAGUAACGAUAAUGCGGGUGAAAAACCCGCACGCCGGAAGACCAAGGGUUCCUGUCCAACGUUAAUCGGGGCAGGGUGAGUCGACCCCUAAGGCGAGGCUGAAAAGCGUAGUCGAUGGGAAACAGGUUAAUAUUCCUGUACUCGGUGUUACUGCGAAGGGGGGACGGAGAAAGCUAGGUUAUCCGGGCGACGGUUGUCCCGGUUUAAGCGUGAAGGUGGAUGACUUUGGUAAAUCCGGGUCGUCAUUAACACUGAGGCGUGAUGACGAGUCACUACGGUGAUGAAGUAACCGAUGCUACGCUUCCAGGAAAAGCCUCUAAGCUCCAGGUAACAUCAAAUCGUACCCCAAACCGACACAGGUGGUCAGGUAGAGAAUACUCAGGCGCUUGAGAGAACUCGGGUGAAGGAACUAGGCAAAAUGGUGCCGUAACUUCGGGAGAAGGCACGCUGAUGGUAGGUGAAGUGACUUGCUCACGGAGCUGAAAUCAGUCGAAGAUACCAGCUGGCUGCAACUGUUUAAUAAAAACACAGCACUGUGCAAACACGAAAGUGGACGUAUACGGUGUGACGCCUGCCCGGUGCCGGAAGGUUAAUUGAUGGGGUCAGCCGCAAGGCGAAGCUCUUGAUCGAAGCCCCGGUAAACGGCGGCCGUAACUAUAACGGUCCUAAGGUAGCGAAAUUCCUUGUCGGGUAAGUUCCGACCUGCACGAAUGGCGUAAUGAUGGCCAGGCUGUCUCCACCCGAGACUCAGUGAAAUUGAACUCGCUGUGAAGAUGCAGUGUACCCGCGGCAAGACGGAAAGACCCCGUGAACCUUUACUAUAGCUUGACACUGAACCUUGAGCCUUGAUGUGUAGGAUAGGUGGGAGGCUUUGAAGCGUGGACGCCAGUCUGCGUGGAGCCAACCUUGAAAUACCACCCUUUAAUGUUUGAUGUUCUAACGUGGGCCCGUAAUCCGGGUUGCGGACAGUGUCUGGUGGGUAGUUUGACUGGGGCGGUCUCCUCCCAAAGCGUAACGGAGGAGCACGAAGGUUAGCUAAUCCUGGUCGGACAUCAGGAGGUUAGUGCAAAGGCAUAAGCUAGCUUGACUGCGAGAGUGACAGCUCGAGCAGGUGCGAAAGCAGGUCUUAGUGAUCCGGUGGUUCUGAAUGGAAGGGCCAUCGCUCAACGGAUAAAAGGUACUCCGGGGAUAACAGGCUGAUACCGCCCAAGAGUUCAUAUCGACGGCGGUGUUUGGCACCUCGAUGUCGGCUCAUCACAUCCUGGGGCUGAAGUAGGUCCCAAGGGUAUGGCUGUUCGCCAUUUAAAGUGGUACGCGAGCUGGGUUUAGAACGUCGUGAGACAGUUCGGUCCCUAUCUGCCGUGGGCGUUGGAAGAUUGAGAGGGGUUGCUCCUAGUACGAGAGGACCGGAGUGAACGCACCACUGGUGUUCGGGUUGUGAUGCCAAUUGCAUUGCCCGGUAGCUAAGUGCGGAAGAGAUAACCGCUGAAAGCAUCUAAGCGGGAAACUUGCCUCGAGAUGAGUCUUCCCUGGGCACUAGAUGCCCCUGAAGGGCCGUUGAAGACGACGACGUAGAUAGGCUGGGUGUGUAAGCGUAGCGAUACGUUGAGCUAACCAGUACUAAUGACCCGAGAGGCUUAACCUUACAACACCGAAGGUGUUU